rnacentral:rRNA from 1 species
GGACAAUCUAACCUACGGAAGAGGAUAACCCCGGGAAACUGGGGAUAAUACUCUAUAGACUAUGGAUGCUGGAAUGCUUUGUAGUCCAAAGGUCCGCCGCCGUAGGAUGGGUCUGCGGCCGAUUAGGUUGUUGUUGGGGUAACGGCCCAACAAGCCUGUAAUCGGUACGGGUUGUGGGAGCAAGAGCCCGGAGAUGGAUUCUGAGACACGAAUCCAGGCCCUACGGGGCGCAGCAGGCGCGAAAACUUUACAAUGCGGGAAACCGUGAUAAGGGAACUCCGAGUGCCCGUAAAAUCGGGCUGUCCAUCAGUUUAAAUAACUGGUGAAGAAAGGGCCGGGCAAGACCGGUGCCAGCCGCCGCGGUAAUACCGGCGGCUCGAGUGGUGGCCACUAUUACUGGGCUUAAAGCGUUCGUAGCUGGUUUGUUAAGUCCCUGGGGAAAUCUUCCGGCUUAACCGGAAGGCGUCUCAGGGAUACUGGCAGACUGGGGACCGGGAGAGGUGAGGGGUACUCCAGGGGUAGGAGUGAAAUCCUGUAAUCCUUGGGGGACCACCUGUGGCGAAGGCGCCUCACCAGAACGGCUCCGACAGUGAG